CCAGAGCACAGCUGGUUGGGCGCAGCAAGGCCCUCAGAGGGAGGCUGAAAGUGCCCUCCCACUGCCCUCCUGGUCACAGGGUGGAACUAAUGCCCCUGGGGCUCUCCUGCUCCAGGAACCUACUCCCUAGGGCCGGCCCCACUGCCCAGCUUGCAGGAGCAGGAAGCGAGGGCACCAGGGAAGGGGCAGAAGGAGAGAGGGGUCCCAGCCCUGCCUUCUCUCCCCAGGGCUGCCAUGGGAUGGAGUUUCAUGGAGGGAAGGGACGGGACUCGCCCGGUUGGCAGGAGGCAUUAAAGGGCUGGCACAGGAGGAAAGGUUGAGGAGUUCUGCUUUAAACCUUUACCGGAUGGCCUUGGGUGAGGAGACAAAGCCAGGUGGCCCGUCCUGCUUCUCUGGCCGCCUCAGCUUGUUCGAUGCGGGGGAAGUCGAGGGGAAAUCCGCAGGGGAAAGUGGGGGGGGGCCUCCCGCCCCCCCCCCAGGACCUGCCUGCCACAGGUGCCCCACGGACACCCCCACGCGAAGAGUCCUCCAGAUCAGAGCCGGCUUCCAGAGGCGGGGCAUGGGAACCCCCACCCCCCCUCCCCCAACGCCCCCUCCUCGUUUUACUGACAAGAAAAGGGCACCGGAUUCUUUCUAACCUCAGUUUCCUCGUCUGCAAGAUGGGUAGAAUAGUAAUAUCUUCAUAGUAUUAAAAAUUCUAAAGUAAUGGCUACAGAAAUGAUCAAUAUUCAUAAAUCACAUAAAUUAAUGGAUAAUUCAAUCGUAAACGGAGAGAGAAUGAGAAUAAAAAUAAAUAAAGAAUGUCGAGAAAUAAAAUAA